UGCAGUUCUCAGGUGAUGCACCCGGAACCAGAGAGGAGGGAGGCUGAUUCCGGGGUGCGUCACCCGAGAACUGCC
rfam:Myotis brandtii contig253314, whole genome shotgun sequence.